CCAUUCAGUAAUAAUGUGCGCUCAGACCUAAGCUAUCUGGGCAUAUGUUGCAUGUCUGUAUUUUAUGUCAUAAAUGUAACCUUGUGUAUUUUAUUCUAUUUUACUGUCUUUUUGUUGCCAUGUGUUCAAUGGAGUUUUGCCUCUGUCUUUGGAGAUAAUUGGAUUACUUCUAAUUAUCUCCAGGAUAGAAGACUCUGUGGAACUGGUUUUGGG